ensembl:lncRNA
AGCUUUUUAGUGGUGGAUUGUACUUCUCUUGGUCUGUUCCUGGUUAUCAGGAGGGAAAUUGAUUAGUAAUCUUGCUGUGACUUUGACAGUGUAUAAUCGGGAUUUAACUGCUAACAAGAACUCAGUUUCUCAUCUGUGGUCCUUCCCAAUCAGCAAAUCUAGUUGUGAAAGUAAACUAGAGUAAUCUGGGAUAAGAAUGGGGAAGCAAAUGAACGGCUUCGAAUUUGCUUGCUGAAUGACUUUUUUUCCUGCAUAGCAAUAUUUGGGCAGAACUGUACAGCCAUUCACUUAAACCAGAAUUCUUUGGUUUUUUGUCUAAACUAUUUGCGACACAGAAUACUGAACUAGUUUUUCCCCACUGUAUAUUGAUUUACCACGGGUGAGAUAGAUCUACAACCUCAAACAGGGACAGUACAAUUCUAAAUUGUCUUAUCCACUGCUCUGCUACUCUUAGUUGCUCUUAAAUUCCUCAGCAGAUCAGACAUACUGACCAAAAGCUUAGCUUCACCACUGCCAUCUUUACUUUCAAUUGAGAACUUGCUUUGUAUAAAAAUCCACCUGUUCCUGCAAGUCUAUUUCUAAGGAAAUGGAAGUUACUUCUAACACAGCUCCAACAGGCUAGCUGGAGGGACAGAGCGUACAGGAAGGAUAGAGAUUAAUGCUCCCAGGCAACCAGAAGUCUCAUCUUCCUUUUGUGGUGUGGACUGUGCAGCAGUCACUCAGCCCCCAGUACCGGACACACGACAAGCUAUGGGAGAGGACCAGUGAAGAUAUCCCUGUUACAGGAAUGUGUUUGUGUAAUUUUCUCUUCUGGGAGCUUUACGACUUCUGAAACAUCUGUUACUGGGUACAGUUGGCAAUGAGGAAUGACAUUAGAUGGGCAGUUAGCCUGACCUAAUGUGUCAAGGCUUAUUACGUUCAUAAAAAUACUAAGCUUGUCACAAUCCAGCAUAUGGGUGGUCAUGUGCAACAUGAUGUGCAUAUUAUGCAAGAAUUGCAUGAAGUUGAGCUUCUUCAGAGCUGACUAGGUUUUCAGGGAAUGAAGGAGAAAAAGCAAGUCAUUUCUAGCAGUCUGAUAAAGUGGUUUUU